UUCUUAAGCUAUUUUAGUAGCAGGAACUGGAAGAAGAAUAGUCUUGUCAGAGAAUUAGCCUGGGACUUUUGGGAAGACAUUGAUUCCACUCCAACAGACGUCCAGAAUCAUGAGGCAUAUCGAAAGAGAGAGAGCGAGAGCGAGAGACACUCUGUGAAGACUUUUCCAUCAUUCAUGAUUGUGCUGGACACCUUCCUCCUCAUUACAGCACAUUAACAUCACCUUGGCAACUGACAGUUGCAUCCAAAAGUUAAAGACUUGAAAAUGUUAAUGAAGCUUUAAAGAUUUUUCCAGUGCUGAAAAGGAGGAACAGAUGGCACCACGUGAUCAUGCAACUGUCUGUGAUAUUCUGAACCACAAAGUGCUUACUGGGCUUGAUGAUAUCUUUCUGAAGCUCCUCACUGUCAGCUAGAGAUUUGACUACCUGGAAUAACUGAGUAUCAUCUGCAAACUUGGAGAUUUCACUGUGUACCCCCAUUUCCAGAUCAUUAAUGAAAAUGUUGAACAAACCAGGCCUGGCACAGAUCCCUGUGGGACCACAUUUUGACUGCCCUCCAUCCUGAAUAGUGGCCAUGUAGGGCUACUUUUGGCUUCCUAUCUUUUAACCAUCUCCCAGGCCACAAAAAUACCUUCCCUCCAUGGUGAGAGAGAGAGAGAGCGAGAAAGGAGAGAUCACAAAAUCCCAAAACCAAAAUGUUGGUUUUGCAAUUUGUUUAAAAUCAUUUUUUAACUGAAAUACAUUUUUGUUAAUGAAAACAUUAUAUACAUUUUUAAAUGGUUUUCAGGUUUGAUUUUCCCUCAAAAUAUCAAAUAUUUUUCAGAAUUUCCCAUGAAAAGUUAUUGGAAUCUUUUGACCAACUCUGCAUGCAAGAAGCUGCAUCACCUUCACUUUGUGGUGGGUACAGAUGUGCUGGCAAAGGUGUCAUGCUCAAAGGUUUACCUAUUCCUGUAUCCCAUAUGCCAACAGGGGGUCUUCAAGCUACCUCUCUGGACAUGUGACACUGAUACCUGGCAAAAGGAAAUGCAGUGCAGUCCAUGAUUGUGUGGAUCCAAUGGCCCCUAAAGUGUACCCAAAUACAAGUUGGCUGGUUCACUUCCCACUGAAGUACACUGAAAGCUUCCCAGAGUGAGUUGGACUCUCACUUCGAUUUCAACAGCAUUGGAUUGUCUUUCAAGAGCAAAGUAGCUGUAGUCCAUUGGCUAUGAAAGAACUAUGCUGGCAUCUUGGCCUCAGGAUGCAAACAUGAUUUUUUACCCCUGCAACAGAAAGUGUCUUGUGUAGUCCACAAACAGGAGUGACUUAAUAAACAAGAUUUUUUUAAAAAGAAAAACAAUGGAAAAUUGCAGGGUUAUUGCUGUUUGUAAAAAUGUGUUUUUUGUCACAACUACCUUAAAAAGGUUAAGAACAGUCAAGUACACAGAAAUAUUAAAAUAAAGUAACUAAAUAAUUUUGUUAUCUGAAUGGUUUCCUAGAAAAAGCUUUGCCUUUUACUCAUGUUUAUGCAUCUUAAUUGAAAUCAUUGUGUUGUUUCCCCAUACUAUUAUUUGAAUUAGCCCUUGAAUAUUUUAAAAUAAAGCAAACUUGCUCAGCAAAGCUAGUUAGGAUUAUUCAGAUUCUCCGGUUCCAAGAUGAUUGCAAUGAAUCCAUGCAUGGAAUUAAAUUGUGUUGACAAUAAACAUUUACUUUAGAUAUAUCACAUGGCAAUAGUCAUUUAAGUAUUUAGCCAUACCAUUUGAAUAUAGCCAUGCUCAGAUAAUUUUACUGCAUUUCUGCAUGUCCUGUUAGUAACAAAU